GACGAACGCUGGCGGCGUGCCUAAUACAUGCAAGUCGAACGAAGCUGUUUUAACUGGUGCUUGCACCGACUUAAACAACUGAGUGGCGAACGGGUGAGUAACACGUGGGUAACCUGCCCCAAAGCGGGGGACAACAUUUGGAAACAGAUGCUAAUACCGCAUAAUCACAGAAACCACAUGGUUUCUGUGUCAAAGAUGGUUUCGGCUAUCACUUUGGGAUGGACCCGCGGCGUAUUAGCUAGUUGGUAAGGUAAUGGCUUACCAAGGCAAUGAUACGUAGCCGAACUGAGAGGUUGAUCGGCCACAUUGGGACUGAGACACGACCCAAACUCCUACGGGAGGCAGUAGUAGGGAAUCUUCCACAAUGGACGAAAGUCUGAUGGAGCAACGCCGCGUGAGUGAAGAAGGUUUUCGGAUCGUAAAACUCUGUUGUCAGAGAAGAACGUGUGCGAGAGUAACUGUUCGUGCAGUGACGGUAUCUGGCCAGAAAGCCACGGCUAACUACGUGCCAGCCGCCGCCGUAA
rnacentral:rRNA from 1 species